CGCGUAGGCGGCCUGCUAAGUCGAACGUGAAAUCCCCGAGCUCAACUCGGGAACUGCGUCCGAUACUGGCAGGCUUGAAUCCGGGAGAGGGAUGCGGAAUUCCAGGUGUAGCGGUGAAAUGCGUAGAUAUCUGGAGGAACACCGGUGGCGAAGGCGGCAUCCUGGACCGGCAUUGACGCUGAGGCGCGAAAGCUAGGGAGCAAACG
rnacentral:rRNA from 1 species